GAGAAUUGCUACCAAAAAUUAAAAUUGUAAAAUGUUUAAAAUACCAAGGAUUACAAUAAUAUAAUAUAAUAAUACAAGGAUUUUCCUCGUUAUAAAGAAUGGUUACAAAAAUGCAACAGAAAUGAUUUGUUACUAGUGAUACAUUAAAUAAGUAUUAUAUGGUUUUCAAUGUUCAUUUCAAACCUAAUAUGUUUUCUAAUCCAGAAAAGACUAGACUUCUUUCUAAUGCUUUCCUACAGAGUUUUAUAAUUUUACUGGUAAUUUCAUAUUGGAAGAGUAUAAAAUGCAAGAUAGCCCAGCUUCAUCAUCAUCCACUCAAACUCCUCAGUUGCUUACUUUACAUACUCCUAUAAAAAAGAAAUUGAAACUUGUGAAAAAAAUAUGUGCUGAACUUCAAAAACAGUGUCGUAGCACAAAACAAAACUUGCAAGGAAGGUCAUACAGCAAUUACCGUGCUCGGCUGACACUCCGGAUUAGCUGUGGGUGUCGAAAGGCCGUUGUUAUAAGAAGAAAAUAAGGGUAACACUUUGGUAUGAGGUACAGACGAAGCGCAAGACACAAGAACUCUGAAAUGUCGAGGACGAAAGUAGGUAGAUGAAAAUGAAAAACAAAGACUUAACUUUAUGCAGUAAGCCGGACAGCGACAAUCGAGUACUAAGACUGAAUGACGCAAAGCACUAGAAUCGACUGAUCACGAUGUCCAGGUCUUUUAACUUUAAAUAGUAAUUCGAACGAUUGCCAAUUUUGCAAUAAAUAUUAAUCCACAAUUCAUUAGUUUCUAGAAUCGGAUGCCCUGUCUGUGUUUUAUGAUAAUAGUUUUCUAUAAUUAUGGCAACGUGACAUAGUAGCAAUUGUUUAUUUAACUAUAAUAAUAAUUAUAUUUUUGAAAUCCUCGUAAUAUCUUCUAUUGGAUAA